GGAAAACGAUAUGUACCAUCGAUGGAAGAUCAUAACGGUGCACUUUUUGACAAACAUGGACGAUUUCUUUACCUUUGAUAUCUUUAAAAAGCAGGACAUAAUUUGAUUGCCUUAAAAUUGAUGACAGUUUUUUGAGUCUGUGCCCUUCAUCAUGGAACAGUAACCCAUCUUACUUAAAAAGCAAGACGAGUCUUUCAUUACUUAAGGCAGUAAAUGAUACAGCAGAAAGAGCUGUGAAAUUGAUGAAAGACUCUCACGGCCGUCUAACAGUGGAUGAGGAACAAAAACAUUUUUCGUUGCGUUGCGUUCAGGAGCAUAGAAAAAUGUACCCGGAUUAUAAAAAGGAGACUUUAAAAAGAAAAUAUUCCCAAUAAAAUGAUAGAACUGCGUUCAUUAA
rnacentral:sRNA from 1 species